CUCCGUAUCCCCUAUUCUCCUCCAUUUUGCAUUGUUCUUUAUUAUUCCCUUUUAUGUUUGAGUGUUAUUUGUUGACCGCUUGUGUGUAGUAAAGAAUUAAUUUUCAAUCCUUUGAUUCCUUUGUUUGUUUUUAAAAGCUUGAUGUUGUGUUUUUUAUUCCUUAUUUCUUUAGUUUCGUAUCAGAAUAAUUUGAUUUAUUUUCAAGGACAUUGUGGUUUUAACAUUUGAUAUCUACUCCUUUCUCUAUCUUGCUUUAAGAAGAAUGGUAGAAUUUUCAGGUUUUCCGUGGUAAAGAGAAGUUUAUUGGGAAUUANNNNNNNNNNNNNNNNNNNNNNNNNNNNNNNNNNNNNNNNNNNNNNNNNNNNNNNNNNNNNNNNNNNNNNNNNNNNNNNNNNNNNNNNNNNNNNNNNNNNAACAGUGCAAAAUUUGAGAGAAUAGGGAAUACGGAGGAAACUUAUUCAAGAACUAAUUCCCAAUAAACUUCUCUUUACCACGAGAAACCUGAAAAUUCUACCCUUAUGCUUAAUGCAAGGUAGAGAAAGGAGUAGAGAUAAAAUGUUAAAACCACAAUAUCCUUAAGAGUAAAUAAAAUUAUUCGGAUACGAAACUAAAGAUAUGAGCAAUAGAAAACACAACAUUAAACUUUUAAAAACAAACAAAGGAAUCAAAGGAUUGAAAAUUAAUUCUAUACUACACACAAGCGGUCAACAAAUAACACUCAAACAUAAAAGAGAAUAAUGAAGAAGAAUGCAAAAUGGAGGAGAAUAUGGGAUACGGAGGAAACUUACUUGACAAGUAUUUCCUCAUAAACUUCUCUUUACCUCGAGAAACUUGAAAAUUCUACCCUUACGCUUAUAGAAGGUAGCGAAAGGUAUAGAGAUCAAAUGUAAAAACGAGAAUUACAAAAUUAACUCUUAAGGCUUAAUAUGGUUGAAAAGGAAAUCAAAUUUUGCCGAUACGAAACUAAAGAAAUGAGGAAUAGACAACGCAACAUCAAGAUAAAAACAAAGAAAGAAAUUAUUGGAUUGAAUAUUAAUUUUCUAGAACACACAUAUAGUAAACAUAUAACACGAAAACAUAAAAGAUAAAUAAGAAGAACAACGCAAAAUUUGAGAGGAUAGGGAAUAUGGAGAAAACUUAUCGAAGAACUAAUUCCCAAUAAACUUCUCUUGACAAGGGGAAACCUAAAAAUUCUACCAUUACGCUUAAAGUAAGGUAGAGAAAGGAGUACAGAUCAAAUUUUAAAACCACAAUGUACUUGAAAGUAAAUAAAAUUUUUUUGAUAAGAAACUAAAGAAAUGAAAAAUAGAAAACACAACAUAGAGCUCUAAAAAAACAAUGAAACCAAAGGAUUGAAAAUUCAUUAUCUACUAGAUACACGCAGUGAACAAAUAACACUCAAAUAUAAAAGAGAAGAAUAAAGAACAAUGCGAAAUGGAGGAGAAUAGGGGAUACGGAGAAAACUUACCUGACAAGUAUUUUCAAACAAACUUCUCUUUUCCUCGGGAAACCUGAAAAUUUUACUUUCACGCUUACCUGACAAGUAUGUGUGUACUAGAAAAUUAAUUUUGAAUUCGUUAAUUUCUUUAUUUGUUUUUUAUCUUGAUCUUGCGCUUGUCUCUUCCUCAUUUCUUUAGUUUUGUACCUGCAUAAUUUGAUUUCCUUUUAACGAUAUUGUGCCUUAAGAGUUAAUUUUCUUGUUCUCAUUUUUACAUUUGAUCUCUACUCCUUUUGCUCCAUUCAAUAAGCGUAAGGGUAGAAUUUUCAGGUUUCCCGAGGAAAAGAGAAGUUUGUUUGAAAAUACUUGUCAGGUAAGUUUUCUCUAUAUCCCCUAUUCUCCUCCAUUUCGCAUUGUUCUUCAUUCUUCUCUUUUAUAUUUGAGUGUUAUUUGUUCACUGCGUAUAUCUAGUAGAUAAUGAAUUUUCAAUCCUUUUAUUUCAUUGCUUUUUUUAGAGCUCUAUGUUUUGUUUUCUAUUUCUCAUUUCUUUAGUUUCUUAUCAAAAAAAUUUUAUUUACUUUCAAGUACAUUGUGGUUUUAAAAUUUGAUCUCUACUCCUUUCUCUACCUUGCUUUGAGCGUAAGGGUAGAAUUUUUAGAUUUCCCCUUGUCAAGAGAAGUUUAUUGGGAAUUAGUUCUUCGAUAAGUUUUCUCCAUAUUCUCUAUUCUCUCAAAUUUUGCGUUGUUCUUCUUAUUUAUCUGUUAUGUUUUCGUGUUAUAUGUUUACUAUAUGUGUGUUCUAGAAAAUUAAUAUUCAAUCCAAUAAUUUCUUUCUUUGUUUUUUAUCUUGAUGUUGCCUUGUCUAUUCCUCAUUUCUUUUGUUUCGUAUCGGCAGAAUUUGAUUUCCUUUCAACCAUAUUAAGCCUUAAGAGUUAAUUUUCUAAUUUUCGUUUUUACAUUUGAUCUCUACACCUUUCGCUACCUUCUAUAAGCGUAAGGGUAGAAUUUUCAAGUUUCUCGAGGUAAAGAGAAGUUUAUGAGGAAAUACUUGUCCAGUAAGUUUCCUCCGUAUCCCCUAUUCUCCUCCAUUUUGCAUUGUUCUUCAUUAUUCUCUUUUAUGUUUGAGUGUUAUUUGUUGACCGUUUGUGUGUAAUAGAGAAUUAAUUUUCAAUCCUUUGAUUCCUUUGUUUGUUUUUAAAAGUUUGAUGUUGUUUUUUCUAUUGCUCAUAUCUUUAGUUUCGUAUCCGAAUAAUUUUAUUUACUCUCAAGGACAUUGUGGUUUUAACAUUUGAUCUCUACUCCUUUCUCUACCUUGCAUUAAGCAUAAGGGUAGAAUUUUCAGGUUUCUCGUGGUAAAGAGAAGUUUAUUGGGAAUUAGUUCUUGAAUAAGUUUCCUCCGUAUUUCCUAUUCUCUCAAAUUUUGCACUGUCUACUGUAUGAGUGUACGAAAAAAUUACUUUUGAACCCGUUAAAAAAACAAAAAAUGGUAAACGAACUAAUUCCCAAUAAACUUCUCUUUACCUACAAAAACUUAAAAACUCAAACCCUCUUCUUAACGCUCGGUAUAGAUAGGAGUAUAGAUCAAAUGUAAAAACAAAAAUUUCCUUGAAAGUAAAAAUUAUUAUUCGGAUACUAAUCNAAAGAUAUGAGCAAUAGAAAAAACUACAUCAACUUUUAAUAAACAACAAAGGAAUCAAAGGAUUGAAAAUUAAUUCUCAAUUACACACAAACGGUCAACAAAUAACACUCAAACAUAAAAGAGAAUAAUUAAUAACAAUGCAAAAUGGAGGAGAAUAUGGGAUACGGAGGAAACUUACCUGACAAGUAUUUCCCCAUAAACUUCUCUUUACCUCGAGAAACUUGAAAAUUCUACCCUUACGCUUAUAGAAGGUAGCGAAAGGUGUAGAGAUCAAAUGUAAAAACGAGAAUUAGAAAAUUAACUCUUAAGGCUUAAUAUGGUUGAAAGGAAAUCAAAUUCUGCCGGUACGAAACUAAAGAAAUGAGGAAUAGACAACGCAACAUCAAGAUAAAAAACAAAGAAAGAAAUUAUUGGAUUCAAUAUUAAUUUUCUAGAACACACAUAUAGUAAACAUAUAAUACGAAAACAUAAAAGAUAAAUAAGAAGAAUAACGCAAAAUUUGAGAGAAUAGGAAAUAUGGAGAAAACUUAUCGAAGAACUAAUUCCCAAUAAACUUCUCUUGACAAGGGGAAACCUAAAAAUUCUACCAUUACGCUUAAAGUAAGGUAGAGAAAGGAGUAGAGAUCAAAUUUUAAAACCACAAUGUACUUGAAAGUAAAUAAAAUUUUUUUGAUAAGAAACUAAAGAAAUGAAAAAUAGAAAACACAACAUAGAGCUCUAAAAAAAACAAUGAAACCAAAGGAUUGAAAAUUCAUUAUCUACUAGAUACACGCAGUGAACAAAUAACACUCAAACAUAAAAGAGAAGAAUAAAGAACAAUGCAAAAUGGUGGAGAAUAGGAGAUACGAAGAAAACUUACUCGACAAGUAUUUCCAAACAAACUACUCUUUUCCUCGAGAAACCUUAAAAUUCUACUUUCACGCUUACCUGACAAGUAUGUGUGUACUAGAAAAUUAAUUUUGAAUUCGUUAAUUUCUUUAUUUGUUUUUUAUCUUGAUCUUGCGUUGUCUAUUCCUCAUUUCUUUAGUUUUGUACCUGCAUAAUUUGAUUUUCUUUCAACGAUAUUGUGCCUUAAGAGUUAAUUUUCUUGUUCUCAUUUUUACAUUUGAUCUCUACUCCNNNNNNNNNNNNNNNNNNNNNNNNNNNNNNNNNNNNNNNNNNNNNNNNNNNNNNNNNNNNNNNNNNNNNNNNNNNNNNNNNNNNNNNNNNNNNNNNNNNNAGUUCUUGGAUAAGUUUCCUCCGUAUUCCCUAUUCUCUCAAAUUUUGCACUGUCUACUGUAUGAGUGUACGAGAAAAUUACUUUUGAACCCGUUAAAAAAACAAAGAAAGGUUAACGAACUAAUUCCCAAUAAACUUCUCUUUACCACGAAAAACCUAAAAAUUCUACCAUUCUUUUUAAAGCAAGGUAGAGAAAGGAGUAGAUAUCAAAUGUUAAAACCACAAUGUCCUUGAAAGUAAAUCAAAUUAUUCUGAUACGAAACUAAAGAAAUGAGGAAUAAAAAACACAACAUCAAGCUUUAAAAAAAAAACAAAGAAAUCAAAGAAAUCAAAGGAUUGAAAAUUAAUUCUCUACUACACACAAGCGGUCAACAAAUAACACUCAAACAUAAAAGAGAAUAAUGAAGAACAAUGCAAAAUGGAGGAGAAUAGGGGAUACGGAGGAAACUUACCUGACAAGUAUUUCCCCAUAAACUUCUCUUUACCUUGAGAAACUUGAAAAUUCUACCCUUACGCUUAUAGAAGGUAGCGAAAGGUGUAGAGAUCAAAUGUAAAAACGAGAAUUAGAAAAUUAACUCUUAAGGCUUAAUAUGGUUGAAAGCAAAUCAAAUUUUGCCGAUACGAAACUAAAGAAAUGAGGAAUAGACAACGCAACAUCAAAAUAAAAAACAAAGAAAGAAAUUAUUGGAUUCAAUAUUAAUUUUCUAGAACACACAUAUAAUAAACAUAUAACACGAAAACAUAAAAGAGAAAUAAGAAGAACAACGCAAAAUUUGAGAGAAUAGGGAAUAUGGAGAAAACUUAUCUAAGAACUAAUUCCCAAUAAACUUCUCUUGACAAGGGGAAACUUAAAAAUUCUAUCCUUACGCUUAAAGCAAGGUAGAGAAAGGAAUAGAGAUCAAAUUUUAAAACCACAAUGUACUUGAAAGUAAAUAAAAUUUUUUUGAUAAGAAACUAAAGAAAUGAGAAAUAGAAAACACAACAUAGAGCUCCAAAAAAAACAAUGAAAUCAAAGGAUUGAAAAUUCAUUAUCUACUAGAUACACGCAGUGACCAAAUAACACUCAAAUAUAAAAGAGAAGAAUAAAGAACAAUGCAAAAUGGUGGAGAAUAGGAGAUACGAAGAAAACUUACUCGACAAAUAUUUCCAAACAAACUACUCUUUUCCUCGAGAAACCUUAAAAUUCUACUUUCACGCUUACCUGACAAGUAUGUGUGUACUAGAAAAUUAAUUUUGAAUUCGUUAAUUUCUUUAUUUGUUUUUUAUCUUGAUCUUGCGUUGUCUAUUCCUCAUUUCUUUAGUUUUGUACCUGCAUAAUUUGAUUUUCUUUCAACGAUAUUGUGCCUUAAGAGUUAAUUUUCUUGUUCUCAUUUUUACAUUUGAUCUCUACUCUUUUCGCUACAUUCUAUAAGCGUAAGGGUAGAAUUUUCAGGUUUCCCGAGUAAAAGAGAAGUUUGUUUGAAAAUACUUGUCAGGUAAGUUUUCUUCGUAUCCCCUAUUCUCCUCCAUUUCGCAUUGUUCUUCAUUCUUCUCUUUUAUAUUUGAGUGUUAUUUGUUCACUGCGUGUAUCUAGUAGAUAAUGAAUUUUCAAUCCUUUGAUUUCAUUGUUUUUUUUUAGAGCUCUAUGUUGUGUUUUCUAUUUCUCAUUUCUUUAGUUUGUUAUCAAAAAAUUUUUAUUUACUUUCAAGUACAUUGUGGUUUUAAAAUUUGAUCUCUACUCCUUUCUCUACCUUGCUUUAAGCGUAAGGGUAGAAUUUUUAGGUUUCCCCUUGUCAAAAGAAGUUUAUUGGGAAUUAGUUCUUCGAUAGGUUUUCUCCAUAUUCCCUAUUCUCUCAAAUUCUGCGUUGUUCUUCUUAUUUAUCUUUUAUGUUUUCGUGUUAUAUGUUUACUAUAUAUGUGUGUUCUAGAAAAUUAAUAUUGAAUCCAAUAAUUUCUUUCUUUGUUUUUUAUCUUGAUGUUGCGUUGUCUAUUCCUCAUUUCUUUAGUUUCGUACCGGCAGAAUUUGAUUUCCUUUCAACCAUAUUAAGCCUUAAGAGUUAAUUUUCUAAUUCUCGUUUUUACAUUUGAUCUCUACACCUUUCGCUACCUUCUAUAAGCGUAAGGGUAGAAUUUUCAAGUUUCUCGAGGUAAAGAGAAGUUUAUGGGGAAAUACUUGUCAGGUAAGUUUCCUCCGUAUCCCCUAUUCUCCUCCAUUUUGCAUUGUUCUUUAUUAUUCCCUUUUAUGUUUGAGUGUUAUUUGUUGACCGCUUGUGUGUAGUAGAGAAUUAAUUUUCAAUCCUUUGAUUUCUUUGUUUUUUUUUAAAAGCUUGAUGUGAUGUUUUUUAUUCCUCAUUUCUUUAGUUUCGUAUCAGAAUAAUUUGAUUUACUUUCAAGGACAUUGUGGUUUUAAAAUUUGAUAUCUAUUCCUUUCUCUACCUUGCUUUAAGAAGAAUGGUAGAAUUUUCAGGUUUUCCGUGCUAAAGA
rnacentral:lncRNA from 1 species